UGGGGAAUUUUGGACAAUGGGCGAAAGCCUGAUCCAGCAAUGCCGCGUGUGUGAAGAAGGCCUUCGGGUUGUAAAGCACUUUUGUCCGGAAAGAAAUCCUUGGCUCUAAUACAGUCGGGGGAUGACGGUACCGGAAGAAUAAGCACCGGCUAACUACGUGCCAGCAGCCGCGGUAAUACGUAGGGUGCAAGCGUUAAUCGGAAUUACUGGGCGUAAAGCGUGCGCAGGCGGUUUGCUAAGACCGAUGUGAAAUCCCCGGGCUCAACCUGGGAACUGCAUUGGUAACUGGCAGGCUAGAGUAUGGCAGAGGGGGGUAGAAUUCCACGUGUAGCAGUGAAAUGCGUAGAGAUGUGGAGGAAUACCGAUGGCGAAGGCAGCCCCCUGGGCCAAUACUGACGCUCAUGCACGAAAGCGUGGGGAGCAAACAGGAUUAGAUACCCUGGUAGUCCACGCCCUAAACGAUGUCAACUAGUUGUUGGGGAUUCAUUUCCUUAGUAACGUAGCUAACGCGUGAAGUUGACCGCCUGGGGAGUACGGUCGCAAGAUUAAAACUCAAAUGAAUUGACGGGGUCAUAGCUGUUUCCU
rnacentral:rRNA from 1 species